CACGUAGGGUGCGAGCGUUGUCCGGAAUUAUUGGGCGUAAAGAGCUCGUAGGCGGUGUGUCGCGUCGGCCGUGAAAACCUGCAGCUUAACUGUGGGCUUGCGGUCGAUACGGGCAUCACUGGAGUCCGGCAGGGGAGACUGGAAUUCCUGGUGUAGCGGUGAAAUGCGCAGAUAUCAGGAGGAACACCGGUGGCGAAGGCGGGUCUCUGGGCCGAUACUGACGCU
rnacentral:rRNA from 1 species